UACGGAGGGUGCAAGCGUUAUCCGGAUUUACUGGGUUUAAAGGAUGCGUAGGUGGGUUUGUAAGUCAGUGGUGAAAUCUCCGAGCUUAACUCGGAAACUGCCAUUGAUACUAUAGAUCUUGAAUUAUCUGGAGGUAAGCGGAAUAUGUCAUGUAGCGGUGAAAUGCUUAGAUAUGACAUAGAACACCAAUUGCGAAGGCAGCUUACUACGGAUAUAUUGACACUGAGGCACGAAAGCGUGGGGAUCAAACAGG
rnacentral:rRNA from 1 species